GACGAACGCUGGCGGCGUGCUUAACACAUGCAAGUCGAACGGAAAGGCCCUGCUUUUGUGGGGUGCUCGAGUGGCGAACGGGUGAGUAACACGUGAGUAACCUGCCCUUGACUUUGGGAUAACUUCAGGAAACUGGGGCUAAUACCGGAUAGGAGCUCCUGCUGCAUGGUGGGGGUUGGAAAGUUUCGGCGGUUGGGGAUGGACUCGCGGCUUAUCAGCUUGUUGGUGGGGUAGUGGCUUACCAAGGCUUUGACGGGUAGCCGGCCUGAGAGGGUGACCGGCCACAUUGGGACUGAGAUACGGCCCAGACUCCUACGGGAGGCAGCAGUGGGGAAUAUUGCACAAUGGGCGGAAGCCUGAUGCAGCAACGCCGCGUGCGGGAUGACGGCCUUCGGGUUGUAAACCGCUUUCGCCUGUGACGAAGCGUGAGUGACGGUAAUGGGUAAAGAAGCACCGGCUAACUACGUGCCAGCAGCCGCGGUGAUACGUAGGGUGCGAGCGUUGUCCGGAUUUAUUGGGCGUAAAGGGCUCGUAGGUGGUUGAUCGCGUCGGAAGUGUAAUCUUGGGGCUUAACCCUGAGCGUGCUUUCGAUACGGGUCGACUUGAGGAAGGUAGGGGAGAAUGGAAUUCCUGGUGGAGCGGUGGAAUGCGCAGAUAUCAGGAGGAACACCAGUGGCGAAGGCGGUUCUCUGGGCCUUUCCUGACGCUGAGGAGCGAAAGCGUGGGGAGCGAACAGGCUUAGAUACCCUGGUAGUCCACGCUGUAAACGGUGGGUACUAGGUGUGGGGUCCACUCCACGGGUUCCGUGCCGUAGCUAACGCUUUAAGUACCCCGCCUGGGGAGUACGGCCGCAAGGCUAAAACUCAAAGGAAUUGACGGGGCCCCGCACAAGCGGCGGAGCAUGCGGAUUAAUUCGAUGCAACGCGUAGAACCUUACCUGGGUUUGACAUGGAUCGGGAGUGCUCAGAGAUGGGUGUGCCUCUUUUGGGGUCGGUUCACAGGUGGUGCAUGGCUGUCGUCAGCUCGUGUCGUGAGAUGUUGGGUUAAGUCCCGCAACGAGCGCAACCCUUGUUCACUGUUGCCAGCACGUUAUGGUGGGGACUCAGUGGAGACCGCCGGGGUCAACUCGGAGGAAGGUGGGGAUGACGUCAAGUCAUCAUGCCCCUUAUGUCCAGGGCUUCACGCAUGCUACAAUGGCUGGUACAGAGAGUGGCGAGCCUGUGAGGGUGAGCGAAUCUCGGAAAGCCGGUCUCAGUUCGGAUUGGGGUCUGCAACUCGACCUCAUGAAGUCGGAGUCGCUAGUAAUCGCAGAUCAGCAACGCUGCGGUGAAUACGUUCCCGGGGCU
rnacentral:rRNA from 1 species